rnacentral:lncRNA from 1 species
UACGAUAACGGCGCCGGCGCCGGCCAAGCACGCUUGAGAUGAACCGUCGGACGACUAUAGCUAGUGCAGUCCUGAUCUGCUGCACGUGCGAUAAUUGUUAGUAGGAAUAAAAAGGUGCCUUUGAAAUAAAUCAAUUUCGUGCAUAUAUAUACGUUGUUUGUCUCGUGAGUGGCACAAAAUCGAUAUAAGCCUGCAAUCGAAAAUUUUGGGUCCCUUUUCGAAAAAAAGGCAGCAUAUUUUUUUUAGAAAUAAAUAUAAUCAAGAAAAAAAACAUAGAUGGGCCAGCAGCCGGUCAGGGUCAGCCCAUCCAUCUGGGCCGAUGCGGCCAGGUCUGCGAAGCAGGCCAGACCGCCAAAGCCCACAAUGCACCGUCCGCUCAGGGAGAGAGAUCGAUAUGCAUCGCACUCACGUCCUCUCAAAAAAAAAAACGCACUCACGUCCUCUCCGAAAUCGAUCGUACAGACAAGAUGGAUAUACGUGCAGCGAUCAUGGAGUGGUUGCAGAUUCACAUCUGCACUAAUUAAUUAUUGCCCCAUGUGGACUAUCCGAAUAAUUGAGAUUGCUUUGCAAGCAAGGGACGGGCCACGAAAUGAUCGUGAUUUGAUUUGGUUAAUUAUAUUAGGUUCUCUUUUUGGCAUUGGAUCAGCAGUGUCGACAUUUAUAUGCGUGCUAAUACCUCGAUUGAUCGAGAUGGUAUGAUCCAAUUAACCACAUGAGUUGAAGUUAAUUUCUUGGAUACACAUAAAACACGGCCAUAUAUGUGAAUCCUCUUGAUGCCAAACUGACCUGGAUCAGAAGCACCUAGCUUAACUACCAUCUGGCCUGUAUGUCUCUGCAGGAGGUAAAACCAUACCUCUUUUGGCCUCAAUGGCCUACGAUCGAAUCACAUCACUAAAGAGCAACAACACCACCUUUGAGUACAAGAGUUUAUUAAGAGUUUAAGAUUGCUAAUGAUAUGUGUAUAUAGGCGAAGCGUCUCCUUCGUAAAGAUCGACCAUCUAUUUUCUGUGUGCUCAUUCAACUGGCCCACAAUCUGUAUGUACCCGUGAUUUAAGGCUGCGUCUGGCAUCGUGAUGGAUUCUCAUAAUCCUGUUUUUCUCAUCCGUUUUUCACUAUUUUCGUGUUUGACUGACCAACUUUUUUCUACUUUCGCGUGUAUUUUUCCGCAACAGAUUAUAAAAUAAGUUCCGUGCAACACAGUUUAGCAAUGUCAAAUUGAGCCUAAAUCGUAUACACCUUUGCAGAAAAAAGUAAAGAGUAUAUGAAAUACGUGUAAAAGACAGAUUUUUUUUAAACGUUUUUGGGAAGCUAGAAAAAAUACUAAGCCUACAGCCGAAGAUUUAUUUUCAUUUUUGUUGUAGUCUUGAUAGAAGACUAUUUUGUUUGUCUGCCUUGUCCUGUGUCGAGAGAAAUUGCACAAGGCUAGCGGUGAAAAUUAUGCAUGUACAUAUGGGCUUUAAUCAGUUGUUUGGCAUCACGAUCAGUACUGAAUCAACUUUAUGAUCAAGUGCUAAUACUUUAUCAGAUUCGCUCCAUUUUCUCCCAACCUCCAAUAGAUGGAGAUUACUUCAGCUAUAGGCAAUUGCUAUCUUUGUCAAAACUUGUCCCGUAUCCAUUAACUAAUUGCUGGUUUCCCCUGACUUUUAGUUAGUUUCCUGACUUGUAGAUAAAAUUCCGGACCUUAAUUAUCAUCCGUGGAGAGUUUUAAAAUUCUGUUUGAAGUUUGAAGAUAUUUUAAAAUUCUUUUUUAUUGUUUUCCUGAAAUUUAAAGAUGUCUAGGAAUCACUAGUUGCAAAUUACUCUUCUUUGCCUACAUGUAGUUUUUCAUUGUAUGGAGUAUAGUUUUUCACCAUCACCGAUCGAUUUUUAUUUGGCUCUUUGGCUAAAAUUUCCCAGAAACAUGGGUAGUUUCAAAGGAGCUCGUAGAAUUAGCUAGCUAUGGUCUAUGGAGUAUUAAUUUUCUGCUUCAUUUGCUAGUUCGUGGACGCGGUGACCAGGGAAAUGGCGCAAGCAGAUGCCACGUCACCAUCAUCCCAUACGUACGUGUACGUAGAGUGUAUGUAUGCCGACAGAAUUCAAAGCCUUUGAUUGCUCAUCCGAAAGCUACCCAAGCUGCAAUUUCGCCAGAUGGGCGGUGGGGCGCCGCACCGUCCAUCCAAGACGUGGGGCCCAGUUCUAUAUCCAAUAAGACUGAAACACGUGGCUGUUUGAUUUGUCAGUGUUACCACGCUAAUUAAUAACAGUCUUUUACCAAAGUCAAAUCGUGCCAUUAAUCACCCAAGUAGCCAGCCAAGAAGCCUAUCUUGGCUAUAAAACCCGGCCAGAAGGAAGGCUACACAAACCAAGCACACAGCAUCCUACUGUCAGUUGUCACACACACACACACACACACACAGGUGUACAAGCCAGCUCAGUAGCUAGCUCCUCGAGCUUUUGAUCAACCGGCGGCCAUGGCGGAGGAAAAGAAGCACCACCUGUUCCACCACAAGAAGGAAGACACCGACGUGGUCGUCAACCCCACCACGGGCGCCGUCGACGAGUACGGGUACUCGGCGGAGACGGUGGUAACCCCAACCGGCGCCGACGGCGAGUACGAGCGCAUCACCAAGGAGGAGAAGCACCACAAGCACAAGGAGCACCUCGGCGAGAUGGGCGCCGUCGCCGCCGGCGCCUUCGCCCUCGUACGAUACACAUGAACACGUCAUCAUCUUAUAUAUACUAAGUGUUGUUGGACGACGACAACAACGGUGCUAAAUUGAUUGUUUGAUUUUAUUGUAGUACGAGAAGCACGAGGCAAAGAAGGACCCGGAAAACGCGCACAGGCACAAGAUCGCGGAGGAGGUCGGCGCGGCGGCGGCGGUGGGCGCCGGAGGGUUCGUGUUCCACGAGCACCAUGAGAAGAAGAAGGACCACAAGGAGGCCCAGGAGGUCAGCGGCGAGAAGAAGGGCCACCACCUCUUCGGCUAAGCGACGUCGCUAGACCCGCCGAUCGAUACUCCACGUAAGCUCGCUGGCGCCGAAGUUUGUUUGUGUGUGUGUGCGCGUGUGUGUUUUUCUGAGGCGCGGGCCAGGCCGUGGGUAUACGAGGUCUCUGUACAUGUGUUUAAUCUGCAGCUUCGGUGUGUUGUGCUACGUACUGCUGCUGAAUAAGCUCCCAGACAGCGAGUAUAUGAUGUAAUAAUCUCUAUGUAUGUGUGCUCAACUUUAUUAAUCAUCCAAGCUACCCUGCCUAUCUGCAUCUAACUUUUAGAUUUUAGCCUUCAGUUCCCAUGGAACGUACUCCACUUUAAUUUGCUUUUUUUUUUACAGCCCACUUUAAUUUGCUUAAUUCGCUCGAGGAAAAGCCACAUGAUUUGUUGGGGGAAACGCUAAUCCAAACGCAAGCUUAACACUAAAAGUCAGAGAUGGCUUUGUUAGCAGGCCCAAACCCGUCGCAUGCCUAAUCCAAACCCAAGGCGUUGCUGUGUAAUCUUGCUGGGUUGGGCCGGACAAGAUUUCAGCGAACACGCCGGCCUCAACUUCAUUCUGGGCCGGUCGGUAGAAGGAGGACGCGCCUGUGCCCACCGCAACAGCUGAUUGGGCUGCGGCGUCUCAACAUGUGCCGUUGGCCCAACAAGUGCCGCGACCCAACAAGUGUACUACUCGUUUAGGGGAUCGUCUCUGACUCAAAUACGUUUCCUGAUCUUUUAGAACGAGCGACUCAAGAGACUUUUUGAAACCUUUGAACAUAGUCAAGUUCGUCCAGAGAUACCAGUAACGAUGUUACUGCUACAGUCUGAUUGAAAUCUCUAUGUUGAAACCUCAACAGAAUUUCAUGUUGCAAAGUUUGAAAAUCAAGGAGAAGAUGCCUUUAAAAGAUUUUCAAUGUAAUUCUUAAUUAUAUGAGUUAUCUUAUAAUUUCUAGAGUCUAUGAUUCAAAGCAUUGUACCCGUAAUAAUUCUCGUGUUUGAAUAAAGUCACAGGUUAUUCGGAAAAAAAAAGUCGAUUUCGAAAUAAUUUGUUUAUCACGGCUUACCAACACUACCCGUCACUAGCUGGUAGGUGAUGAUAUCCCCAUCAGUGGCGGGCAACUAGCAGGACCGACAGUGAUACUAUUUUCCUGAUUAAAGAAAAAGCAGGCCAGUGGCCUGCACAUUUUCCAGCGUACCCCAACAAAUCCCAAAUCACACAAAUCGGAGAACAAAUCACACAUCACAGAUCAAGCAUCAAGGAUUACAACAUGAAAAAACACAAAAAUAAUCAAGAAAAAAUGGCCGGCGCUCCUCGAUCUCGAUCUGCUUCUACACAGAGACGGGAAAAUGGCCGGUUGGCGCCGGGGCUGCAGGAUCCGGCGACGGCGGAACGAGGCAGGGAGGCUGGCCACCAACAAUCUGCGAGAGAGAGAGGGUGAGAGAGAGAGAGAGGGUGAGAGACAUACCGGCGGCGGCUGAAGAAGGCCGGAUUCAACGGGGGCGAGGGGCCGGCUCCUCCACGCGGGGCCGACGGAUCCGGCCCCCGCUUCUGCUCCAUGCGCCCCCACUGCUGCUGCUCCAUGCGCCAUGGGUUGGUGUAGAGGAAUGGGGAGGGGAUGGGCUUUGCAGCGCUUGGGAUUGAGAAGAGAAGAGAAGGGAGAGAGGGAGGAGACUGGGGCGUCGGGCAGGGAGGGAGGAGAUUGGGGCACGCACAUGAGAUAAGUUCGGGAGGG